CUCAAUAGGUUGCAGCACGUCAUCAACCUUGUCUGGACAUGGGGGCUAAGCAGGUCAGCCCUAGUUAGUAUUGGAAUGGAGGACUAUCAGGAAAUCCCAGAAUCUGUAGGCU
rnacentral:rRNA from 1 species